CAGACUUUCCUUUGUGUCUCAUUAGCUACUGCUUUAGUAUGUGCCUUUACUUAAACCAAUUACUGGCAAGAGGAAUAGAUCAGUGCACCAAAUUUAGUAAGAUUUACCCUUGGUCUCUAAGGGUAAGCAGAUACCUGAAUAGAAUCAGAAUUCUGUUAAAAAGGAAGAGAAAGAGAGGUAGGGGGUGGUGGUUGCUGAGGCAACAAGAAGUAUCUACUGUAACAGCUGACUGAAUCACAAUAAAGGACACAACAUAAAUGGAUUUUUUAUGCACAACAGGAGGACCAACUUCUGUCUUGAUGAAUGAAUCUCCUGAGAGAAGUAAUCCAUUUUUAUAAACAUUCUGGGAAGGUGCGUUCACUAGCUGGUUCAGACAGCUGCCCUGUGAGCUUUCUUAUGGCAAGAAGUAUGCAAGCUGGUUUGCUUAAGGUGACUUAAAAGGUUCUGCCUCCAUUUCCAAUGUGAACUAUAGAAGUCUGCAUGUAAAAAUAGAAAUUAUGUUGGUGGCCUUCUAGAAGAAAGGGCAGAACUGAAGGAAAAGGUUCUACCUAGAACAUACUUCCAGAUGUCAUGCUGUCUGCUACUAGCAGAUUUUUAAUGUCUUUCAUUGGGAAUACUGAUUCAUAGCUUUUGGGUGGUUAGCUUAACUGAGGUACAAUUUAUACACAAAAAAAUCACCAACUUUAAGUAUAUAAUUCAAUGAAUCUUAACAAAUAUAAAUUUGUAAGCUCUUAGGAUUACAGAUCUCAUUUAUGAAUCUGAUUUAAUCCACGAAGACUCUCCUUUGAAAAAUGCACACAUAUCUAAUAUGUUAUAUAAAAUUGCAAACAAUUUCACAUAUAUUCUAAAGCUUAUCCAUGCAACCUCAUAUAUAGAUCCUGAGUUAAGAACCUUUGGUCAUAG